rnacentral:rRNA from 1 species
AGGAUGAACGCUGGCGGCGUGCCUAAUACAUGCAAGUCGAACGAGGUGCUUUUGUAGCAAUACGAAAGUAUCCUAGUGGCGAACGGGUGAGUAACACGUUGGUGACCUGCCCCAAAGUGUGGGAUAACAGUCCGAAAGGAUUGCUAAUACCGCAUGUGGUCUUCGGGUUUAGAAACCGAUGACUAAAGCAGUAAUGCGCUUUGGGAGGGACCUGCGUCCCAUCAGCUAGUUGGUGAGGUAACGGCCCACCAAGGCUACGACGGGUAGGGGACCUGAGAGGGUGGCCCCCCACAAUGGAACUGAAACACGGUCCAUACACCGACGGGUGGCAGCAGUAGGGAAUAUUGCUCAAUGGGCGAAAGCCUGAAGCAGCAACGCCGCGUGUGCGAAGAAGGCCUUCGGGUCGUAAAGCACUUUUCUGAGAGAUGAGAAAGGACAGUAUCUCAGGAAUAAGUCUCGGCUAACUACGUGCCAGCAGCCGCGGUAAAACGUAGGAGGCAAGCGUUAUCCGGAUUCACUGGGCGUAAUGCGCGUGCAGGCGGUUCGGUAAGUUGGGCGUGAAAUCUCCUGGCUUAACUAGGAGAGGUCGUUCAAUACUACCGGACUAGAGAAUGGUAGAGGAAGAUGGAAUUCCCGGUGUAGUGGUGAAAUGCGUAGAUAUCGGGAGGAACACCAGUGGCGAAAGCGAUCUUCUGGACCAUUUCUGACGCUCAUACGCGAAAGCUAGGGUAGUAAACGGGAUUAGAGACCCCGGUAAUCCUAGCCGUAAACGAUGUAAACUUGGCGUCGGUGGCUUAAACUCCAUCGGUGCCGCAGCAAACGCGAUAAGUUUACCGCCUGGGGACUACGAUCGCAAGAUUAAA